rnacentral:rRNA from 1 species
GACGAACGCUGGCGGCGUGCUUAACACAUGCAAGUCGAACGGAAAGGCCCUGCUUUUGUGGGGUGCUCGAGUGGCGAACGGGUGAGUAACACGUGAGUAACCUGCCCUUGACUUUGGGAUAACUUCAGGAAACUGGGGCUAAUACCGGAUAGGAGCUCCUGCUGCAUGGUGGGGGUUGGAAAGUUUCGGCGGUUGGGGAUGGACUCGCGGCUUAUCAGCUUGUUGGUGGGGUAGUGGCUUACCAAGGCUUUGACGGGUAGCCGGCCUGAGAGGGUGACCGGCCACAUGGGGACUGAGAUACGGCCCAGACUCCUACGGGAGGCAGCAGUGGGGAAUAUUGCACAAUGGGCGGAAGCCUGAUGCAGCAACGCCGCGUGCGGGAUGACGGCCUUCGGGUUGUAAACCGCUUUCGCCUGUGACGAAGCGUGAGGGACGGUAAUGGGUAAAGAAGCACCGGCGAACUACGG